UACGGAAGGGGCUAGCGUUGUUCGGAAUUACUGGGCGUAAAGCGCGCGUAGGCGGCCAUGCAAGUGAGGCGUGAAAGGCCUGGGCUCAACCUGGGAACUGCGUUUCAGACUGCACGGCUUGAGUCCGGGAGAGGGUGGUGGAAUUCCCAGUGUAGAGGUGAAAUUCGUAGAUACUGGGAGGAACACCAGUGGCGAAGGCGGCCACCGGGCCCGGUACUGACGCUCAAGUGCGAAAGCGUGGGGAGCAAACAGG
rnacentral:rRNA from 1 species